rnacentral:lncRNA from 10 species
GCCUGUGUCUCCCCUCCAGAGUGUAGGUCCCUGAGGGCAGUCACCUGAUCUGUCUCAGUCACUGCAGUGUCCCCAAACAGAGCACCGCCUCAGGCACACAGAGGGCAGUGGUGAGGACUAAAGGAGGCGAUGAGAAGAGAGUCCCCACAAGGAGUCUGGCACAGAGGAAGUUUCGACGUAUGCUGUCCAUUGCAACUUCGACUUAUGCUGCGUUUCUGUGUCGGAACAGUGGAAGACAUUCAACAAGCACUUUGUCUCAGAGGCUUAGUUACAAUUAAUUGAGCCUGAAAGACCAUAGACUUGAAAAAGCCCUCAAAGUGAUAAAGGUAAAAAGAAAAAUAAAAUGACAUCUAGCAGGCACUGAGGGCUCUACAACGUGUGGCUAGCCUGUAUUCAGCACCCUACAGUGUGCAGCCAGGCUGUGCUCAGCAUCCUACAGUGUGCAGCCAGGCUGUGCUCAGUACUCUACAGUGAGUAGCCAGCCUGUGCUCAGCACUCCGCAGUGAGUGGCCAGCCUGUGCUCAGCACUCUACAGUAUGUGGCCAAACUGUGCUCAGCACUCCACAGUGAGUGGCCAGCCUGUGGUCAGGACUCUACAGUGAGUGGCCAGUCUAUACUCUGCACUCUACAGUGAGUGGCCAGCCUGUACACAGCACUCCACAGUCGUCAUCUUUUCAUCAUAAAUCUAAUGGCCACUUAAUGAGGUAGACCUGUCCCAUGACUUGAACUGAUUUCAAAAACUCAAAACUCAUACUCUCUUGCAUUUGGCAACCAAAACACAACCCACUUCCUGGGACCUUCUGACAGCCAGGCCACGUUGAGCAAACACCGAGCCCUCUUCAGAGUUGGUCAGCAGCCAGGUCAGCAGCGACUGGCAAGGCGACUGCUUGCCAGGUCUCCUCCAGCAUGAGCUUGGGAUGGAGCUGAAUCCCUUUCAUGCACAAGCAGAAUUUGAAAAGGUGCGGGGCCACACUAGUACCUCUGCGUCUCCUGCCAGAGCCCACCAGCUUAUUUUGCUUCUUCAGAGUCUGUAAAGCAUCCUUCUGGAUGACGAAUGCCUUCCGAGGCUCCAGCCCACCAAGCCUUCCUCUAAGUUUCAGAUGCAGAGGCCACCUCGGAGAACUGUGAUUGUCUCCCUGCAUCUCCCCAGUGCCCCCGGAUGAGUGCCACCCUCCUCACCUGCUAUCACAAAGACAAGAAAGGCCAUUCAUAAUUUAAGUCAGCCCUUUCUUUCCUGCACGCCACCAACAUGAGUCAGAUGCUGGAGGAAAAAUUGAACUCUUUCUCCCAGGAUACACCAAAGAUCAAGCAGAAUCUCAUUAAGGCUCACUUCAAAGACUCGUCCUUUAUUUCCAUACAAACAAGUUUAAAUUAUCGUGUGUGAAUCUGCUGUUAGCAGGGACUCUGUUCCAUUAUGCAUGAUUCCUUACUGUUCAUAUCAUGAAUAAUGGGCAGUGCUCCGUUAGCGAUUUCCAGUAAUAUGCUAAACUUUGGGAGUGGUCAUGGUGUUAGGUUAAAGUUCUGGUGUUUGCCUAUUUUAUUUCUUACUCAAGCUAUAAUGGCCUGCUUCAUCAAAAUAGGUUUCACAGUCUUAUUGUAAUGAACACAGCAUAACACAUGUUGUGGCUAUGAUUUCCUUAUUAUUAUUAUUGAAUAUUUAUUGAGCACUUACUAUGUGUAAGGGAUGGUGCUCAGUGUAUGCAUUGCAUGCAUAAUAUUUAAUCUUCCGGAAUCCCAUGAAAUAGCUAUGAUGAUUAUUCCCAUUUUACUGGUGAAAAAAACUGAUAAUUUGAGCAGGAUCUAAAUUAUCCACAGAUAAAACUUUUUUGUGUGUUUUUGAGACAGGGUCUCACUUUGUGACCCAGGCUGGAGUGCAGUGGUGCAAUUAUGGCUCACUGCAGCCUUGACUUUCCAGGCUCAAGCGAUCCUCCCACCUCAGCCUCCUGAGUAGCUGGGACUACAGGCAUGCACCAUCACACUGGCUAAUGUUUUAAACAAUUUUUGUAGAGAUGGUGUCUUGCUAUUUUGCCCAAGCUGGUCUGGAACUCCUGGGCUCAAGCAAUCUGCCCACUUCAGCCUCCCAAGAUGAUGGGAGUACAGGCAUGAGCCACCGUGCCUGGCCUGAUAGAACUGUUAAUAAAUGGUAAUGCUGAUUCAAAUCAGUUGGUCUGACUUCAGAUACUCCUAAUUAUAAAAUACUUUUUACAACGCUAUUACUUGCUGAAGAGCUUUGGCAGAUAAUCGAUGAUUUGGUAAGCAGGUAUUUGGAUGUCCAGUGCACAUUUCUCAUGUCCAGAUGAGAAAUGAAUGCUCAGGGGAUUGCUUGAUACCUGGGAGUGAGAAAAUCCUUGUUCAAGUACUGGUUUUGACUUCACUUAAUCUUGGGCAAGUCAUCCAGUCUUCCUGGAUGUGCUGAGGUGGUUGCAUUAUUGCCUUUGUAAUUUUUUUUCUUCAUUUUUUUAUUAUACUUUAAGUUCUAGGGUACAUGUGCACAACGUGCAGGUUUGUUACAUAUGUAUAUAUGUGUCAUGUUGGUGUGCUGCACCCAUUAACUCAUCAUUUUCAUAAGGUAUAUCUCCUAAUGCUAUCCCUUCCCCCUCCCCCCACUCCAUGACAGGCCCCUCUGUGUGAUGUUCCCCAUCCUGUGUCUAAGUGUUCUCAUUGUGCAAUUCCCACCUAUGAGCGAGAGAGAACAUGCGGUGUUUGGUUUUCUGUCCUUGCGAUAGUUUGCUCAGAAUGAUGGUUUCCAGCUUCAUCCAUGUCCCUACAAAGGACAUGAACUCAUCCUUUUUUAUGGCUACGUAGUAUUCCAUGGUGUAUAUGUGCCAAAUUUUCUUAAUCCAGUCUAUCAUUGGUAGACAUUUGGAUUGGUUCCAAGUCUUUGCUAUUGUGAAUAGUGCCGCAAUAAACAUACAUGUGCAUAUGUCUU